rnacentral:rRNA from 1 species
CCUACGGGUGGCAGCAGUGAGGAAUAUUGGUCAAUGGCCGGAAGGCUGAACCAGCCAUGCCGCGUGAAGGUCAGUGCCCUAUGGGCGUUAAACUUCUUUUGUGCGGGAGCAAUAAUGGUCACGUGUGGCCAGACGAGAGUACCGUACGAAUAAGCAUCGGCUAACUCCGUGCCAGCAGCCGCGGUAAUACGGGGGAUGCAAGCGUUAUCCGGAUUUAUUGGGUUUAAAGGGGUCGUAGGCGGGCUUUUAAGUCAGCGGUAAAAAUUCGGGGCGCAACCCCGUCCGGCGGUUGAGACUGGGGGCCUUGAGUGGACGAGAGGAAGGCGGAAUGCGUGGUGUAGCGGUGAAAUGCAUAGAUAUCACGCAGAAGCCCGAUUGCGAAGGCAGCCUUCUGGCGCCCUACUGACGCUGAGGCACGAAAGUGCGGAGAUCGAACAGGAUUAGAUGCCCUUGUAGUC